UACGUAGGGGGCAAGCGUUGUCCGGAUUUAUUGGGCGUAAAGAGCUCGUAGGCGGCUCGGUAAGUCAGGUGUGAAACCUCCAGGCUCAACCUGGAGACGCCACCUGAUACUGCUGUGGCUAGAGUCCGGUAGGGGAGCGUGGAAUUCCUGGUGUAGCGGUGAAAUGCGCAGAUAUCAGGAGGAACACCAGCGGCGAAGGCGGCGCUCUGGGCCGGAACUGACGCUGAGGAGCGAAAGCGUGGGUAGCAAACAGG
rnacentral:rRNA from 1 species